CGAUAUAGACGAGUUUGAUCCUGGCUCAGAACGAACGCUGGCGGCAUGCCUAACACAUGCAAGUCGAACGAAGGCUUCGGCCUUAGUGGCGCACGGGUGCGUAACGCGUGGGAACCUGCCCCUCGGUUCGGAAUAACAGUUAGAAAUGACUGCUAAUACCGGAUGAUGACUUCGGUCCAAAGAUUUAUCGCCGAGGGAUGGGCCCGCGUAGGAUUAGCUAGUUGGUGGGGUAAAGGCCUACCAAGGCGACGAUCCUUAGCUGGUCUGAGAGGAUGACCAGCCACACUGGGACUGAGACACGGCCCAGACUCCUACGGGAGGCAGCAGUGGGGAAUAUUGGACAAUGGGCGAAAGCCUGAUCCAGCAAUGCCGCGUGAGUGAUGAAGGCCUUAGGGUUGUAAAGCUCUUUUACCAGGGAUGAUAAUGACAGUACCUGGAGAAUAAGCUCCGGCUAACUCCGUG
rnacentral:rRNA from 1 species